rnacentral:tRNA from 1 species
GCCUGUGUGGCUCAGUGGAUAGCGCGUCGGCCUGCGGACCGAAGGGUCCCGGGUUCGACUCCGGUCAAGGGCA